GGCGGCGGAUACUUCUCCUUCCAAGAGGGAAACGCGGGUUCGAAUCCCGUCGCCGGCG
rnacentral:tRNA from 1 species